rnacentral:lncRNA from 1 species
GUUUCAGUACCUGGUGAGAACUUCCUCCCACCCUAUAAUCUAAGUAUCCUUACAUAGCAGGGUGUGAAGUGCACAGCCAGUUGGAGAGGUGGAAGGGAAGUCAGUGCAGCUUCACUGGAAAACUUUCAGACCUACUAUCAGACUUCAGAGGAGAAGCACCUGUAACCUUUGUGAAGUCACAAAAUUUGUGUAAACCUGAUUCAGUAGCCACUGCAUUCAAUGAGGAGUUCCUAAUACUUCAUGCAACUUUGUAUGCUCAGUUCACAAAAUUCAAUCAAUAAUUAUGUGCAAACAUCAGACUUCAUUUGAAAACAGAAUGGUCUAUGAUCCACUGGAAAUGAAAGAGACUUAUCAUGC